rnacentral:rRNA from 1 species
GUAGGGAAUUUUCGGCAAUGGACGGAAGUCUGACCGAGCAACGCCGCGUGAAUGAAGAAGUAUUUCGGUAUGUAAAGUUCUUUUAUUUGGGAAGAAAAAACAAAUUGACGGUACCAAAUGAAUAAGCCCCGGCUAACUACGUGCCAGCAGCCGCGGUAAUACGUAGGGGGCAAGCGUUAUCCGGAAUUAUUGGGCGUAAAGGGUGCGUAGGCGGGUUAUCAAGUCUUUGGUUAAAAUGCGGUGCUCAACGCCGUAUCGCCAAAGAAACUGAUAGUCUAGAGUAUGGUAGAAGUGAGUGGAACUCCAUGUGUAGCGGUAAAAUGCGUAAAUAUAUGGAAGAACACCAGUGGCGAAGGCGGCUCACUAGGCCAAUACUGACGCUGAGACACGAAAGCGUGGGGAGCAAACAGGAUUAGAAACCCUAGUAGUCC